AUCUGUUAGAGCUCGGUGGGUUCAG
rnacentral:piRNA from 1 species